UUCAUGAGAGACAGAGAGAGACAGAGAGAGAGAGAGGCAGAGACACAGGCAGAGGGAGAAGCAGGCUCCCUGCAGGAGCAGGAGCCUGAUGCGGGACUUGAUCCUGAUCCUGGGAUCACAACCUGAGCUGAACGAAGGCAGCUGCCCAACUGUUGAGCCACCCAGGUGUCCCACAUAGUAUCUUUCAUUCAAAGUUUCUUGAAGCAUAUCUAAGCUACAAAUACUGAAAUAGACCAAGGGGGAUCUCCUUUUUUUUGUUGCUAAAAUAGUCAUAAAAUGUGUUAUCAUUGAAAAUCUCCAAUAAAGGAGGGCAACAUUAGCAGUAGACAGACAACAUGAUACUAAAAAUCAUAAGAGGAAGAUACUCUAUGACUAUUCUAGUUACUGAGCACUUUAAUGGAUUACAUCAUGUAGGCUUCAGAACAACCCAUGAGGUAGGUUUUUUUUUUUACCCCUAUUGUACAGAUGUGGAACCUGAGGUCAUGUGAGGUUAAGAAUUAGUUCCUAUCAGACAGGUAACAAAUGCCACAAGCAAUAGCUCAAUUUAGGCCCUGCAAUUCUGGGACCUAUACUCUCUUUUUUUUAAAAGAUAUUCAUUCAUUCAUUCGUUCAUUCAUUCAUGAGAGACACAGAGAGAGGCAGAGACAUAGGCAGAGGGAGAAGCAGGCUCCACACAGGAAGCCUGAUGUGGGACCAAUCCCAGGACCCCAGGAUCACACCCUUAGCUAAGGCAGACGCUCAACCGCUGAGCCACCCAGACAUCCCUGGGACCUAUACUCUUAACCACUGUCCAUGAGAGUAAUCGCAACUGCAUUCCUGACCAAUGCAGGCCCGCAGGGUCAGACAGGCAAGUCAACGUAUUUGUUAUGAAUCAAAUUGCGUGGCCCCCCAUUUCCUGUUUAAAUCCUAACCCCUGGUACUCCAGAAUAUGACGGUAUUUGGAGAUAAAGUCUUUAAAGAGGUAACCAAGUUAAAAUCAAAUCAUUGCAGGGGGGCCUUUAACCCAAUAUGACUGGUGUCCUUAUAAUAAGAGAAGACUUGGACACAGAGACAGACAAGCAGAGGGAAGGCAAUGCAGAGAGACAGAAGAAGACAACCAUCUGCAAGCCAAGGAAGGAGGCCCGAAACAGACCUUUCAGGCACAACCCUCAGAGAUAGCCAACUCCGUUGGCACCAUGAUUUUGCACUUCUCCCCUCCAGAACUGAGACAAGAAAUCUCUUGUUGUUUACACCAACCAGUCAUCGCUACCUUGUUAUAUCAGCAAACUGAUACACCAUCUUAAUUCAACUGCUGCCAAAUUGUAGAGUUUUUCUAAGCAUAAUUAGGUCUGUUUAAUUUGAUUCACUAUGUUAAAAAAGGAAGGGUAAGGGCUAUUUUUAAGAUAGGUUAUAGGUGUAAUAACACACCCAAAAGUGUGCUUUUACCAGCCCACCUGUGGUACACACAGGGAGAACGAGGAAGCCAACACUAGCCAAAUUUUUUUUUUAAUUAUAGAAGCUGUCAUGAAAGUUGUUGCUAUGUAAUCUUCUUAUUUAGAAAUGUUGAAAGUCUCCGUUUCAACCUGCUCUCAACCCAUGGCACUGUUGGCUGAUAGCUUCACAAAAAUGUUUCUCUGUGCCAUUUCAAAUAUUAUUUUUGGAUAACAUGGUUCUCAAAAGGCCACAUGAAAUAUAAUGAAUGUAUAGAUUUAUAUCUGAAUAUAGCCAUAAGAAAGUAACAUAAAAAAUAAAAGAUGAGAUGAUUGUUAGGUAAUAGCUGGAGGAAAGACACAAAGAUAAAUAAACUAAAAUGUAUUAAUAUAAUAUUUUAUAGAAAUUGCACUUUUAUGGGGCUCUACAGAAGUCCUCAGUGACCCAUGAAAAUUCCUACCUUUAACAUGUUUUAUGGAAUUCCACAGAGUGGCUUCCAAAGCAAAUUCUAAAAUUCCUUGGAGGCUUUGUAAAAAUCUUACAAUUUAUAAUCCAUAAAAAUAUAAUUUGAGCGUUCUUAAUGCACUGUAAUUUCAUAUUUUCGUGGCUUUGAUUUCCUAAGAAUAUCAAGAUAUCUCUUUUAAAUAUAAUGUGCUUUAAAUGAUCGGCCAUCAGAUUACAGUUGCUCAAAGCCACAGCUGUCGAACCCUAUUUUCUAUAAUAAAAUAAAUAAUGUAAGAGUGGUUACAGGAAACAUAAGAUGAACUAUUAAGCAGUGAGCCUAUGUUCAUCUGUUGCUUUUUUUUAAUGGAUUAUUUUGAACUUCUUUAGAACAAAGACUUAAUGAAGCCAUUAGGGUGUGUCAUUGGGUUAGAUUCCCAGAACUGUAAUGGGUAUUUGUUUCGCUUUGUUUAAAUUUCUUAAGAGAAAUAUUGGUUCCAUUUAUUUAUUUCUCCUUGGCUAGCUCGGACAUUAUUCAACCAUGAAGCAAGGUAGAAUCAGAAGAAACAGAAACAUUGUGUUCUGCUAUUUCCUUUUCUACACAAAUAUUCUUUUAUUUCUGGAAUGAAAGGAGUGCUCUCCAACUUCAUUAAAAGAACAUAAUCUUUCAGUUAACCAAAUCCAAGAUCCUAAGAGGAGAAAAAAAAGUUUUCUGCUUUCUUCGAAUUGCAAGCAGAGCAUGCUGGAGAUGAUAUCUGGAGUUAUUACAAGACAAGUGACUGAACACCAGCAAGACCUACAUGAACAGCUCUGUGUGGUCCCUAGAUAUGUGACAACAUUCAGUACUUCAAAUACCGUAUGCCCACGUCAUAGAUGUCUAUUAUUUUGUCUCACCAGACUUUUUCCUUCUUUCUACAAUGGAACCCUUUUUUAUUAGAGGUCCACCCCAGCAGCAAUAUCAAUUCUAUGGUCCUAAGGAGGAGCUGGCACAGAACACCUUCUGGGCCCCAGGAGUGGAUGUGCUGGCCAACCAUGUUGCUGAGGGCUUCUCUCCAGGGGUUUUCUAAUAGCCUCUAAAGUUAGCACGGUGACAAACUUCACAAGAAAAAGUUCAGAAAGUACCUGUCUGAGAAAGUAAAACUGAUACCCAAAGUAAAGCAAGCAUGAAAGAUGACAAGAAAUUAAGAGAGCCUCCAGCAGUGAACUGGCCUUUAUAUGGCAUGACAGCCGGUAAAUCCCCAAUUUUGCCUAAAGUAGUUGGGUUAAGUUCAUCUCUCUAGCAACCAAAGCAAUCAACCAGACAAUCUUUCUCUCUCUCUUUCUCUAAUUUCCUAUAAAAGUUAGAAAAGCCAUUUCAAAUGAAUGAAUCACUCACAGGGGGAAAAGUUACAGUUGUUCUAAAAAUGCUCUUAUAUUAAAUUUGUAUUUGAUUUCAAUGUGAAAACAAAACUUGAUUUUUGCACCAUCUCAUGAAUCUGGCCCCUGGUUUUGUUAUUCUCACUGUUUGCGUGAUUCAGGGUUAAAUGUUUUUGACCAGAUUUUUCCUACGCAACUGUAAAGUGCUACUGAAAUCACCUGGGGUCAUGCCGUCCUCCCUCACAAAGACAAUCACAUUCUACAGGCUUGUUCCAACCCUUUGGUGUGGUAUUCUAGGCCACCUUCCAUUCCACCUUCCCCUCCUGCUCUAUAUCGCCAACAGACCUUUAGCUUUGAGCUCUACUCAUCUUCUCACCAUUCCUUAAAAUACCAUGUGCUUAUCUAUCUUAGGCUCAUGCUUUUCUUUGCAUGGUAGGAACUUUCCCACAAUUCUGCACAUCUUAAUUUUGCUAAUCCUUAAAAAUCCACUUUAAUUUACAGAGAUUUCUCCAGCCCCACUACAAGGAAUGAAUGGCUAUUUUACCUGUACUCCACAUUAUUUCUUUCCUCCUGAUUUAUGUUAGUUGUAUGUCUUCUUCUAAGAAUAGUAAGUUCUUUCAUUCAUUCAUUCAACAGAUAUUCAGCAUUUCGGGGGGGGGGGCACUGUGCUUGACAUGAGGAUACAGCACACCCCACUCCCUCAUGAAGCUUUGUGAGUUUACUUUUGCGGGACUUGCAAUUUCAUUCUACAACUAAGUAUGUAAAUAAACUGUGAAGAUAGAAUCAUAGGUGAAAAAGUACAGAGUGCUCUGAAAGAAUACAGGAGUUAGCCAGGUGAGACCAGGGUUGAAAGCUGUGCAGCAGAUGAAGGCUAUGGGACAGGAAGCAGGAGCUCCUGGGAGGAAAUGCCUAAGAGCAAUGGAUCUGAAGAACCAUGCAGUUGGAAAGGGAAUGUGGACAUGCUGACGGGGGUGUGGAGGACAGCACUUGCAGAGCCCUGCGAGGUAGGAGGUGAGUCUGGGUAUUAUGCUGAGAGCAGCUCAGUUCUCCAUGGAGGAGCAGCAUGAUGAGAUUCACAUUUUGAAGGAGAGAUUGCUAUUUAAAGAAGGGGAUGAAGUAUGGGGAGGCGGGUGAGAAGCUGGCAUGGUGCUGCAGACCUGGGAUGAUGGUGGCAAGUGGGAAGACAGUGGGGUAGCAGCAGGUGGGGGCAGGGGUCCUCUUAGUAGAGUCCACAGGAUUCCAUAACUGAUUAGAUGGGGUUUAGAAAGAACAUCAAGGUGACUACUGAAGACAUCUUUUUUAAUGCAGUGAGGUAAUUAACCUACUGCCUUGAACAUAAUACAUCUUCAGUAAUGUAUAUUGAAUUAAACUCCUGUAAUGUUCCCAUAAGUUACCAAGGGCAUCCAGCAAUUCAUACGAUAUGCAAUUAUGCUAAAACACAUGUGUGUGCCUCUGUGUAUGUGUGUGUGUGCUAUUUUUUUUUUAGAUCUUAAAUUUGGGAUAAGAAUAUAUCAAAAGAUAUAUGAACACAAAAGUAUCAUGAAAGACCGCUUUCUCAGUGAACCCCAACUUUUACUUAUUUUAUUCAGUGUUUGAGAGGAAGAAGAUUAAAAUGGAGCCAUUAGAGAACAUUGGUAAGUUGUAGCUCCCUUAUGUAUUCACUUAACAAAAUGACUUGGAGAGUCAUUUGUCUUCACCGAGUCUGUGCUUUUGCCUGAAGGUUUGGAAAAUAUUUUCAUAGUAACUUACCAUGACUGCUCUCUGUAGUCAAUAGAGUUCAUCAUCUCUGUUCAGCUAGCAACUAGCUCCCUCCUUCAGUGUUUCCUCUGAAUUCAUUAGAUGCCUUAUCUAAUCUACAGAUUUCAGGUCUUUCACAUUUUCUCUUAUUGUUCCUGACCAUUUAACUGCUCAUCUGAAAACAGAAUUUCUCUUCAUCUCUUAGAUUUCUGUGAUAAGAUGAACAGAAAGGAAAUGAGAACCAUUCUUAACAACUCAACCUAACAAUAGGAAUAAUGGCUAAUCAAUUUAAGGGAAUUAUAGUUAAGCUCUCCAUUAGCAAAAACCAAAUAUAUGA
rnacentral:lncRNA from 1 species